rnacentral:rRNA from 1 species
AUUGAACGCUGGCGGUAGGCCUAACACGUGCAAGUCGAACGGCAGCACAGUAAGAGCUUGCUCUUACGGGUGGCGAGUGGCGGACGGGUGAGGAAUACAUCGGAAGCUACGUUUUCGUGGGGGAUAACGUAGGGAAACUUACGCUAAUACCGCAUACGACCUACGGGUGAAAGCAGGGGAUCUUCGGACCUUGCGCGAUUGAAUGAGCGGAUGUCGGAUUAGCUAGUUGGCGGGGUAAAGGCCCACCAAGGCGACGAUCCGUAGCUGGUCUGAGAGGAUGAUCAGCCACACUGGAACUGAGACACGGUCCAGACUCCUACGGGAGGCAGCAGUGGGGAAUAUUGGACAAUGGGCGCAAGCCUGAUCCAGCCAUACCGCGUGGGUGAAGAAGGCCUUCGGGUUGUAAAGCCCUUUUGUUGGGAAAGAAAAGCAGCAGGUUAAUACCCUGCUGUUCUGACGGUACCCAAAGAAUAAGCACCGGCUAACUUCGUG